GGGUUCCGCUGCAGUUGUAAAAAUGCUACCACCUUCCACGAAAUCAUUUAAAUCGACGCGAAUCUCGCGAAAAAGAAGUGCUGCUGCUGGUGCUCAGCCAGCUGUAACUGGCACCACAUCGGGGGAAAAUCGCAAAGGCUCUUCAGCUACCCGAAAAAUCGUAACGUCCUGUACGUUUCCCGGGCAGCGCUUACGUAGUACUGUUGCUGGUGCACGACCAGCAGUUAUAGUCAUUAUUCUGCAAAUUAUUUCUAUCGGCGGAAUCUACGAGGUUCUCAAUAAGGAAAAUUGGUUCCGGCGGCGAUCGUAGAUGGUACUCCCAGCUGGUAUUGUUGCAGAAGCGCAAACGCUUUUCAACUGUUUGCCAUACCAUGGAAACCGGAACCACCAGCACCAAUGAUGUGGAUUGCAAAAGGACCCCUUCCAAAAAGAAUCAAAAUUCUUUUGAAAUGCUUCAAAGCACCACUGAAGCAAAGCUCACGACAGCGGAAGGCAACACAAGCUACGGGAUCGGACUGUUAGAUGAACACAAUCCGCUUCGAUAAAUAACUCAUGAGUUUCCCUUAAAAUGACGUUUUCCAGAAUGGUGAAUCUCCGCCGAAUGUAGCAGUUUCUCGAUGGUUUUUAGCCAAUGCUAAAUUCUCCUUUAAAUGCACCAGUUGCUGGAAAUUCAAGCAUUGAUAUGCAAAGGAAAACAGCAGGGAAGGGAUCAGGGUUUGGAUAUUAAAACGCUGGGCUUACCUCUUCCUUGACCGUGGCGGCAAUCAUGGUUUAAAUAUGAAAACGAAAGGCAACAAAACGUGUUGAUAUAAUUAUU